rnacentral:lncRNA from 1 species
AUUAUAGGUUUCCAAACCAUCCUCAGGCCUAUUGCUACCAGACACUGCCCGGUGCUAAGGACUGGGAUUACGAGGUGUCACAUGCGGUUCUUUUUCACCUGGGAAGAAUUGUGCAUGGAGAGAGAAUGAGAAGCAACGGUCUCAAGUUGAAGCAAGGGAAGUCGAGCUGCGGGGAUCUCGCUGCGGGGCGCUGCAGCAAGAGCGCAGGCGUGUGUGGAGAGUCACUCCUCGCCCGGCUUCCUGCAGGUGCCUCGAGGCAUCUGGAUGAGCAAACAGGCAGGAGGGCUGAAAAUAAAGCAUCGGCUUUUGACCUCUGGCAGCUGAGUUUGAGCCUUGCAGAAAAUAUAUUUGAUGGAUCGACCAGAGUCCAGAGGGAGAAAGAGAGAGUGUGAAUGUCCAGCCAGUAUCAGAGCUGAGUGGACUGACGUGAUGUGAAACAAUAUUGAGUUUCAUAUUGUUCUCCUGUUGCAACCCUACCUCUCACAAAACCCACUACAUUGCUGCCUUACUCCAGUUUCACACCAGUACAUCCCCAUAAAUUUCACUGCCAAUAGCAUAAAAGUGCUGUCACAUGAUGGCGAAUUGGGUCUUUUUCUACAGAACGGCUGCAAGGUUCCUCUUAAAACCAUUGUGCUUUUAUCAGGUCAUUUUAUAAUCGCCAGUAGGGAACCGGCUGGUCCCAAACCUAUUGAAGUCAAGAUGUUUCCCCAGAUACUCCAGCCAAGCCUAGACGGCAACAUUGAAGAACCUAGAAAAAGUUUCUAGAGGCAUUUGUCAGCUGUGUUUGGGGGAAAGACAUGUGCGUGGACCAACAGAAAAUAUUGGCACUUUCUAUGCAUUCAGAAAUCAGGCAGCUCUUAUAAUCCUCUCUACCUACAAUGACCAGAGAAUCAUUCCUACAAGAUCCGGUUCCAUGAAACUCUCCCCUCAGGGGAAUCCUUUUCUGGUGUAGGGUGAAAAGGAUCCAGCAUACCAGUUUGUCAGCACCCUCUUAUACGUGCCUAAGCAAGGCAAGCUGUCCAGCUGGCUAAUCCUGGGCGCGUCUACAGGUUCAUUAAUGCACUUUUGCUAAUGCACAUUAAAUUUAGGACUUCAACUGUGAAGUACUAGAAAAAAAUGCAUUUGCCUAUUUUAAUGUGCAUUAGAGAAAGUGCAUUAAUGAAUGUGUAGAUGUGCCCAGGGUUUUUGUGAUGCUUUAAUGUGCAUUAAAAUAGGCUAAUUAAAGCAUAUUAAUGAACAUGUAGACACCCCCCCCGAUAACAAACCGAACACAAACAUUUUUGAGGACCUUAGGCUCAAACUAAAGUCCAUUGAGAUCCUUCUUUAUUAAUGACAAGAGGCUGAGGUUGAGGCUGUUUGAGGGGAGAGGAGCUGAGUGCCACUGGAUGGCCC